rnacentral:misc_RNA from 1 species
CUCUGCUUCAAAAUUCCACUGGUCCAUAAUCUCCUCCACAUUAUAAUUGGUUCAGGGUAUUAAAACAUUAAAAUCAAGAUAUAUUAUUAUACAUUGAAAACCCUAACAAAUCAAAGAUCAGAAAUCACAUAUGAACAAGAUCUGUGGUUUCCCUUUUCAUUAUUAAAUCUAAUGUGAAGAACCUUGCUAAAAAUUUAAAACUUC